rnacentral:rRNA from 1 species
AGAGUUUGAUCCUGGCUCAGAUUGAACGCUGGCGGCAGGCCUAACACAUGCAAGUCGAGCGGGGUUUUCGGACCUAGCGGCGGACGGGUGAGUAAUGCGUAGGAAGCUACCCGAUAGAGGGGGAUACCAGUUGGAAACGACUGUUAAUACCGCAUAAUGUCUACGGACCAAAGUGUGGGACCUUCGGGCCACAUGCUAUCGGAUGCGCCUACGUGGGAUUAGCUAGUUGGUGAGGUAAUGGCUCACCAAGGCGACGAUCUCUAGCUGGUUUGAGAGGAUGAUCAGCCACACUGGAACUGAGACACGGUCCAGACUCCUACGGGAGGCAGCAGUGGGGAAUAUUGGACAAUGGGCGCAAGCCUGAUCCAGCAAUACCGCGUGAGGGAUGACGGCCUUCGGGUUGUAAAGCACUUUUUUCAGGGAGAAUCAAUGACGGAC